rnacentral:rRNA from 1 species
GAUGAACGCUGGCGGCGUGCCUAAUACAUGCAAGUCGAGCGAACAGAUGAGGAGCUUGCUCCUCUGACGUUAGCGGCGGACGGGUGAGUAACACGUGGAUAACCUACCUAUAAGACUGGGAUAACUUCGGGAAACCGGAGCUAAUACCGGAUAAUAUAUUGAACCGCAUGGUUCAAUAGUGAAAGACGGUUUUGCUGUCACUUAUAGAUGGAUCCGCGCCGCAUUAGCUAGUUGGUAAGGUAACGGCUUACCAAGGCAACGAUGCGUAGCCGACCUGAGAGGGUGAUCGGCCACACUGGAACUGAGACACGGUCCAGACUCCUACGGGAGGCAGCAGUAGGGAAUCUUCCGCAAUGGGCGAAAGCCUGACGGAGCAACGCCGCGUGGGUGAAGAAGGUCUUCGGAUCGUAAAACUCUGUUAUUGGGGAAGAACAAAUGUGUAAGUAACUAUGCACGUCUUGACGGUACCUAAUCAGAAAGCCACGGCUAACUACGUG